AGGGAAUCUUCCGCAAUGGACGCAAGUCUGACGGAGCAACGCCGCGUGAACGAUGAAGGCUUUCGGGUCGUAAAGUUCUGUUGUUAGGGAAGAACAAGUAGGAGAGUAACUGCUCGUACCAUGACGGUACCUAACGAGAAAGCCACGGCUAACUACGUGCCAGCAGCCGCGGUAAUACGUAGGUGGCAAGCGUUGUCCGGAAUUAUUGGGCGUAAAGCGCGCGCAGGCGGUCUAAUAAGUCUGAUGUGAAAUCUCGCAGCUCAACUGCGAGCGGUCAUUGGAAACUGUUAGACUUGAGUGCAGAAGAGGAGAGUGGAAUUCCAUGUGUAGCGGUGAAAUGCGUAGAUAUAUGGAGGAACACCAGUGGCGAAGGCGACUCUCUGGUCUGUAACUGACGCUGAGGCGCGAAAGCGUGGGUAGCAAAC
rnacentral:rRNA from 1 species